CACCAAUUUCAAAAAAUGAAUAUAACAAACAAACAAAAAAACGGAGGAGUCGUAUCAGGGACUUGGUUUUUCUUUCGUUUUGGCUUUUGCUUCUUGCUUGUUCG
rnacentral:ribozyme from 1 species